rnacentral:tRNA from 1 species
CCGCCACUAGCUCAUCUGGACAGAGCAUCAACUUUCUAAGUUGAGUGUACGAGGUUCGACUCCCCGGUGGCGGACCA